UACAGAGGGGGCAAGCGUUAUUCGGAAUUAUUGGGCGUAAAGGGCGCGUAGGCGGCUUCGCAAGUGACGGGUGAAAUCCCUCGGCUUAACCGAGGAACUGCCUGUCAAACUGCGUGGCUUGAGACCAGGAGAGGUGAGUGGAAUUCCCAGUGUAGCGGUGAAAUGCGUAGAUAUUGGGAGGAACACCAGUGGCGAAGGCGGCUCACUGGACUGGUGCUGACGCUGAGGCGCGAAAGCGUGGGGAGCAAACAGG
rnacentral:rRNA from 1 species